UACGGGGGGAGCAAGCGUUGUUCGGAUUUACUGGGCGUAAAGGGCGCGUAGGCGGCCUGUGCAAGUCAGUUGUGAAAUCUCCGAGCUUAACUCGGAACGGUCAACUGAUACUGCUCGGCUAGAGUGCGGAAGGGGCAACUGGAAUUCUUGGUGUAGCGGUGAAAUGCGUAGAUAUCAAGAGGAACACCUGCGGCGAAGGCGGGUCUCUGGACAGUUCCUGACGCUGAGGCACGAAGGCCAGGGGAGCAAACGGG
rnacentral:rRNA from 1 species